UACGUAGGGACCAAGCGUUGUCCGGAAUCAUUGGGCGUAAAGCGCGUGUAGGCGGCCCUGAAAGUCUGGUGUGAAAACUUGAGGCUCAACCUCAAGCUGUCGCUGGAUACUGCAGGGCUUGAGUCCGGAAGAGGAGUGUGGAAUUCCUGGUGUAGCGGUGGAAUGCGCAGAUAUCAGGAGGAACACCUAUGGCGAAGGCAGCACUCUGGUACGUGACUGACGCUGAGACGCGAAAGCGUGGGGAGCAAACAGG
rnacentral:rRNA from 1 species